ACGGGUGAGUAACACGUGGGUAACCUGCCCUCCACUCUGGGAUAACUCCGGGAAACCGGGGCUAAUACCGGAUACGACCUGAGGCGGCAUCGCCUCGGGUGGAAAGUUUUUCGGUGGAGGAUGGACCCGCGGCCUAUCAGCUUGUUGGUGGGGUAAUGGCCUACCAAGGCGAUGACGGGUAGCCGGCCUGAGAGGGCGACCGGCCACACUGGGACUGAGACACGGCCCAGACUCCUACGGGAGGCAGCAGUGGGGAAUAUUGCACAAUGGGCGAAAGCCUGAUGCAGCGACGCCGCGUGAGGGAUGACGGCCUUCGGGUUGUAAACCUCUUUCAGCAGGGACGAAGCGCAAGUGACUGUACCUGCAGAAGAAGCACCGGCUAACUACGUGCCAGCAGCCGCGGUAAUACGUAGGGUGCGAGCGUUGUCCGGAAUUAUUGGGCGUAAAGAGCUUGUAGGUGGCUCGUUGCGUCGGGAGUGAAAACCUGCGGCUUAACCGCAGGCCUGCUUCCGAUACGGGCGAGCUAGAGUUCGGCAGGGGAGACUGGAAUUCCUGGUGUAGCGGUGGAAUGCGCAGA
rnacentral:rRNA from 1 species